rnacentral:rRNA from 1 species
GACGAACGCUGGCGGCGUGCCUAAUACAUGCAAGUAGAACGCUGAAGGAGGAGCUUGCUUCUCUGGAUGAGUUGCGAACGGGUGAGUAACGCGUAGGUAACCUGCCUGGUAGCGGGGGAUAACUAUUGGAAACGAUAGCUAAUACCGCAUAAUAGUAGAUGUUGCAUGACAUUUGCUUAAAAGGUGCAAUUGCAUCACUACCAGAUGGACCUGCGUUGUAUUAGCUAGUUGGUGGGAUAACGGCUCACCAAGGCGACGAUACAUAGCCGACCUGAGAGGGUGAUCGGCCACACUGGGACUGAGACACGGCCCAGACUCCUACGGGAGGCAGCAGUAGGGAAUCUUCGGCAAUGGACGGAAGUCUGACCGAGCAACGCCGCGUGAGUGAAGAAGGUUUUCGGAUCGUAAAGCUCUGUUGUAAGAGAAGAACGAGUGUGAGAGUGGAAAGUUCACACUGUGACGGUAUCUUACCAGAAAGGGACGGCUAACUACGUG